CGGCUCCCAUACCGGCAGCCGCCCGCGGGGGAAAAAAAAGUGAGCCCGGCAUCGAGGGGAAGAAGCACCGGCGCCGAGGGGUAUUUCUGAAAGAGGAAGCUUAAUUAAUAUCCUGUAACUAAGACUGACCUCGAUCGUCGGAGGCUUAGUAGAGACCUGACAAGAUGUCACACAGGGCAUGCAUCAGUGGCAACUGGAGGAGCAGCCUGUUGUCUCCAGGACCACUGAGCAGCAUUUGGCUCCAUAUGGCUGUUUUUCAAGCUUGAUGGUGUGGACACGUGGCACACGAGGGCAGACAGAUGGUGCUGAACGUGUUUGGCAUUUUUUGCCAGCAAGCACUGGAGAAAAGCUGAACCCUUGGUUAAAUGGCAUGUUGACAAAUAUGUGAGUGCUGGUUUCAUGAAGGAUGCAGACAUUCUGACGCAAAGAUCUUCAAGCUCUGAGUCAACUUGGGAUCAUUCUCCUCUAUGAUGUCCGAUUACUACUUCUCCUGUAUUUAGCAGGAGAAAAAAAAAGGAAAAAAACCAAACACCUGUGCAGCAGAAGGAAGUGCCUUAAUGGAGCAUGAGGAAGUAGUAGAGCAAUCUGGACAGUGGAAUUAGUAGUGAUUACGGAAACAAAUGGUAUCAAUUAAAGCAGUAUGUCUGCCUUCAUUAAUUCCAAUGCACUAUCAAUAUGCUAACUAUCAAAUAUUUUAUCCUGAGGAAUGACCCUGAUAGAUCAUAAAGCCUUUGUCUCCGGCAUUACAUCUCUAUGCAAAGCCCUGCAGCUCAAGAGA